AUUGAACGCUGGCGGCAGGCCUAACACAUGCAAGUCGAACGAGUGGCGGACGGGUGAGUAAUGUCUGGGAAACUGCCUGAUGGAGGGGGAUAACUAAUGGAAAAGGUAACUAAUACCGCAUACCAUCGGAUGUGCCCAGAUGGGAUUAGCUAGCAGGUGGGGUAAAGGCUCACCUAGGCGACGAUCCCUAGCUGGUCUGAGAGGAUGACCAGCCACACGGGAACUGAGACACGGUCCAGACUCCUACGGUAGGCAGCAGUGGGGAAUAUUGCACAAUGGGCGCAAGCCUGAUGCAGCCAUGCCGCGGGUAUGAAGAAGGCCUUCGGGUUGUAAAGAACUUUCAGCGGAGAGGCGUUACCAACAGAAUAAGCACCGGCUAACUUCGUGCCAGCAGCCGCGGUAAUAC
rnacentral:rRNA from 1 species